rnacentral:snRNA from 1 species
AUCGUUUCUAGGCCUUUUGGCUAAGAUCAGGGGUAGGAAUUGAGAAAAAUUUGUUCAUACAAAGAUGUAUGUGACUGUAUGUAGAAGCUCAUGCAACAUAUACAUAUAUAUGCAUGUGACUCUAUAUAUAUGUACACUUUUUGCAUAAGGUGUUGACACAUU